rnacentral:rRNA from 1 species
CCCGCACAAGCGGUGGAGCAUGUGGUUAAUUCGACGCAACGCGAUGAACUUACCAGGGCUUGACAUCCCCUGACCGCGUAUGAAAGUACGUUUUCACCCUCGGGUGACAGGGAGACAGGUGGUGCAUGGUUGUCGUCAGCUCGUGUCGUGAGAUGUUGGGUUAAGUCCCGCAACGAGCGCAACCCUUAUUGCUAGUUACCAUCAUUAAGUUGGGGACUCUAGCGAGACUGCCAGUGAUAAACUGGAGGAAGGUGGGGAUGACGUCAAAUCAUCAUGCCCCUUAUGACCUGGGCUACAAACGUGAUACAAUGGCUGAAACAAAGGGCAGCGAAGGAGCGAUCUGGAGCGAAACCCAAAAAAGCAGUCUCAGUUCGGAUUGAAGUCUGCAACUCGACUUCAUGAAGUCGGAAUCGCUAGUAAUCGCGGAUCAGAACGCCGCGGUGAAUACGUUCUCGGGGUUU